rnacentral:rRNA from 1 species
UCCGUUGGUGAACCAGCGGAGGGAUCAUUACCGAGUUUACAACUCCCAAACCCCUGUGACAUACCUUACUGUUGCCUCGGCGGAUCAGCCCGCUCCCGGUAAAACGGGACGGCCCGCCAGAGGACCCCUAAACUCUGUUUCUAUAUGUAACUUCUGAGUAAAACCAUAAAUAAAUCAAAACUUUCAACAACGGAUCUCUUGGUUCUGGCAUCGAUGAAGAACGCAGCAAAAUGCGAUAAGUAAUGUGAAUUGCAGAAUUCAGUGAAUCAUCGAAUCUUUGAACGCACAUUGCGCCCGCCAGUAUUCUGGCGGGCAUGCCUGUUCGAGCGUCAUUUCAACCCUCAAGCCCUCGGGUUUGGUGUUGGGGAUCGGCGAGCCUUUCUGGCAAGCCGGCCCCGAAAUCUAGUGGCGGUCUCGCUGCAGCCUCCAUUGCGUAGUAGUAAAACCCUCGCAACUGGAACGCGGCGCGGCCAAGCCGUUAAACCCCCAACUUCUGAAUGUUGACCUCGGAUCAGGUAGGAAUACCCGCUGAACUUAAGCAUAUCAAAGCCCGGGAGGA